CCUACGGGAGGCUGCAGUGAGGAAUAUUGGUCAAUGGACGAGAGUCUGAACCAGCCAAGUAGCGUGAAGGAUGACUGCCCUAUGGGUUGUAAACUUCUUUUAUAUGGGAAUAAAACGUUCCACGUGUGGGAUUUUGUAUGUACCAUAUGAAUAAGGAUCGGCUAACUCCGGGCCAGCAGCCGCGGUAAUACGGAGGAUCCGAGCGUUAUCCGGAUUUAUUGGGUUUAAAGGGAGCGUAGGUGGAUUGUUAAGUCAGUUGUGAAAGUUUGCGGCUCAACCGUAAAAUUGCAGUUGAAACUGGCAGUCUUGAGUACAGUAGAGGUGGGCGGAAUGCGUGGUGUAGCGGUGAAAUGCUUAGAUAUCACGAAGAACUCCGAUUGCGAAGGCAGUUCACUGGACUGCAACUGACACUGAGGCUCGAAAGUGUGGGUAUCAAACAGGAUUAGAUACCCCUGUAGUC
rnacentral:rRNA from 1 species